rnacentral:rRNA from 1 species
AGUGAACGCUGGCGGUAGGCCUAACACAUGCAAGUCGAACGGCAGCACAGUAAGAGCUUGCUCUUACGGGUGGCGAGUGGCGGACGGGUGAGGAAUACAUCGGAAUCUACUUUUUCGUGGGGGAUAACGUAGGGAAACUUACGCUAAUACCGCAUACGACCUACGGGUGAAAGCAGGGGAUCUUCGGACCUUGCGCGAUUGAAUGAGCCGAUGUCGGAUUAGCUAGUUGGCGGGGUAAAGGCCCACCAAGGCGACGAUCCGUAGCUGGUCUGAGAGGAUGAUCAGCCACACUGGAACUGAGACACGGACCAGACUCCUACGGGAGGCAGCAGUGGGGAAUAUUGGACAAUGGGCGCAAGCCUGAUCCAGCCAUACCGCGUGGGUGAAGAAGGCCUUCGGGUUGUAAAGCCCUUUUGUUGGGAAAGAAAAGCAGCAGGUUAAUACCCCGCGGUUCUGACGGUACCCAAAGAAUAAGCACCGGCUAACUUCGUG